GCCACUGUGGUGGAAAGGGUAGACACGUCAGACUUAAAAUUUGAAGCCAGAAUGGUGGUAUGAGUUCAAAUCUCGUCAGUGGUA
rnacentral:tRNA from 1 species